AGUGAACGCUGGCGGUAGGCCUAACACAUGCAAGUCGAACGGCAGCACAGUAAGAGCUUGCUCUUACGGGUGGCGAGUGGCGGACGGGUGAGGAAUACAUCGGAAUCUACUUUUUCGUGGGGGAUAACGUAGGGAAACUUACGCUAAUACCGCAUACGACCUACGGGUGAAAGCAGGGGAUCUUCGGACCUUGCGUGAUUGAAUGAGCCGAUGUCAGAUUAGCUAGUUGGCGGGGUAAAGGCCCACCAAGGCGACGAUCCGUAGCUGGUCUGAGAGGAUGAUCAGCCACACUGGAACUGAGACACGGUCCAGACUCCUACGGGAGGCAGCAGUGGGGAAUAUUGGACAAUGGGCGCAAGCCUGAUCCAGCCAUACCGCGUGGGUGAAGAAGGCCUUCGGGUUGUAAAGCCCUUUUGUUGGGAAAGAAAAGCAGCAGGUUAAUACCCCGCUGUUCUGACGGUACCCAAAGAAUAAGCACCGGCUAACUUCGUG
rnacentral:rRNA from 1 species